GAUGAACGCUGGCGGCGUGCCUAAUACAUGCAAGUCGAGCGAACAGACGAGGAGCUUGCUCCUCUGACGUUAGCGGCGGACGGGUGAGUAACACGUGGAUAACCUACCUAUAAGACUGGGAUAACUUCGGGAAACCGGAGCUAAUACCGGAUAACAUGUUGAACCGCAUGGUUCAACAGUGAAAGACGGUUUUACUGUCACUUAUAGAUGGAUCCGCGCCGCAUUAGCUAGUUGGUAAGGUAACGGCUUACCAAGGCAACGAUGCGUAGCCGACCUGAGAGGGUGAUCGGCCACACUGGAACUGAGACACGGUCCAGACUCCUACGGGAGGCAGCAGUAGGGAAUCUUCCGCAAUGGGCGAAAGCCUGACGGAGCAACGCCGCGUGAGUGAAGAAGGUCUUCGGAUCGUAAAACUCUGUUAUUAGGGAAGAACAAAUGUGUAAGUAACUAUGCACGUCUUGACGGUACCUAAUCAGAAAGCCACGGCUAACUACGUG
rnacentral:rRNA from 1 species